CCUACGGGUGGCAGCAGUGAGGAAUAUUGGUCAAUGGGGGAAACCCUGAUGCAGCGACGCCGCGUGGGUGAAGAAGUAUUUCGGUAUGUAAAGCCCUAUCAGCAGGGAAGAAAGAAGACGGUACCUGACUAAGAAGCCCCGGCUAACUACGUGCCAGCAGCCGCGGUAAUACGUAGGGGGCGAGCGUUAUCCGGAUUCACUGGGUGUAAAGGGAGCGUAGACGGCCGUGCAAGCCAGGAGUGAAAGCCCGGGGCCCAACCCCGGGACUGCUCUUGGAACUGUGCGGCUGGAGUGCGGGAGGGGCAGGCGGAAUUCCUGGUGUAGCGGUGAAAUGCGUAGAUAUCAGGAGGAACACCGGCGGCGAAGGCGGCCUGCUGGACCGCGACUGACGUUGAGGCUCGAAAGCGUGGGGAGCGAACAGGAUUAGAUACCCUUGUAGUC
rnacentral:rRNA from 1 species